AGACCCGAAACCCGGUGAUCUAGCCAUGGGCAGGUUGAAGGUUGGGUAACACUAACUGGAGGACCGAACCGACUAAUGUUGAAAAAUUAGCGGAUGACCUGUGGCUGGGGGUGAAAGGCCAAUCAAACCGGGAGAUAGCUGGUUCUCCCCGAAAGCUAUUUAGGUAGCGCCUCGUGAAUUCAUCUCCGGGGGUAGAGCACUGUUUCGGCUAGGGGGCCAUCCCGGCUUACCAACCCGAUGCAAACUGCGAAUACCGGAGAAUGUUAUCACGGGAGACACACGGCGGGUGCUAACGUCCGUCGUGAAGAGGGAAACAACCCAGACCGCCAGCUAAGGUCCCAAAGUCAUGGUUAAGUGGGAAACGAUGUGGGAAGGCCCAGACAGCCAGGAUGUUGGCUUAGAAGCAGCCAUCAUUUAAAGAAAGCGUAAUAGCUCACUGGUCGAGUCGGCCUGCGCGGAAGAUGUAACGGGGCUAAACCAUGCACCGAAGCUGCGGCAGCGAACGUAUCACUUAAAGCGAUUCAGCGGGUUACGAUUGACGGAGCGAAGCGACGUCAAAGCGUAUACAAAGUCGAGUCGGUUUAAGGAUACGUUCGUUGGGUAGGGGAGCGUUCUGUAAGCCUGCGAAGGUGGCCUGUGAGGGUUGCUGGAGGUAUCAGAAGUGCGAAUGCUGACAUAAGUAACGAUAAAGCGGGUGAAAAGCCCGCUCGCCGGAAGACCAAGGGUUCCUGU
rnacentral:rRNA from 2 species